rnacentral:lncRNA from 1 species
UAACAUGAUUUGAUUCUUUAAAACCAGGCAAUAGAGAGAAAACAGAGCAGAUCAUGGAUAGCAAAUGGUUCAAUUGUAGAUAGAAGACACAUGAUGCAAGGUGUUAACUGAUGUGACUAUGUAUCCAUCACCAGGAAUCCCAAGAGCAACAUGGAAGUCUCCAUCAGUAGGCAUGCAAUGAAUCAAAACAAGAGUGAGUUGUGAAAUCAAAUGUCUACAAAUGACAGCUGGCUAGUGACUGGAGAAACACAUCUGUCCUGUCUUACUGAUGGCCUAUGAUGUGGUGUAGCAUUUGGAAUUUUCCAUUGCAGUUUUCAAAGUCAUCUCCAAAGUUUAUGGUAUCAGUAUUAGAUUGGAAAAUCAUACUCUAAAACUUUAUUUUAAAGAAAGACUGGUGAAUCAUAAUAGACAAAUGAUUACAAAAAUAAAGGCAAGAAAAGUUAUGAACUGCUGAACUGAAGAAGAUAAAGGAUUUCACUUCUAAGUGGAAAUCACAAACUUGUAGAGACAAAGAAAAUGUUCAUGAUGGGACACACCUCGGUUCAAAUGCUGGACUGGUUCCACCCACUCUUUCAACCAUUACACUUAUUUUCAAAGUCCAAGACUUGCCUGAUAUGGGCUGUCAUAUGGAGACACACUAGCUUGCCGAGCGAGGCCGGCUUGUCGUCCAGCUUCGCUGCGGGGACCGACUUGGGUUUCUUGGACUGGGGCAGGAGCAUGGACUGCCGUUUCAGGGACAUGGCACCGGGGAAGUGGCAAGGGGCCAGCGGCCGGAGCCUCCGUGCUCAGGGCAGGAAGAAAGUGGAAGGAACUGCCCUUGUUUCUAAUUCUAAUAAAAACAAUCUGCAAACAAAAAAUGAGUUUGAAAAACCAGUAUGCCAG